rnacentral:rRNA from 1 species
UACGUAGGGUGCAAGCGUUAAUCGGAAUUACUGGGCGUAAAGCGUGCGCAGGCGGUCUGUUAAGACCGAUGUGAAAUCCCCAGGCUUAACCUGGGAACUGCGUCGGAUACUGGAUGGCUUGAAUUCGGGAGAGGGAUGCGGAAUUCCAGGUGUAGCGGUGAAAUGCGUAGAUAUCUGGAGGAACACCGGUGGCGAAGGCGGCAUCCUGGACCGAGGAUUGACGCUGAGGCGCGAAAGCCAGGGGAGCAAACGGG